AUUAUUUCAAUCCAUACUUCAUGACACUUGGGACAAACUUAUGCAUCAAUCCAAAGUACCUUAAAUGAUUCAUGAUCAAUUAGGAGGUAGAUUUGAAAUGAUGACAGUUCAUCAAGUACCAAUACACACAUCAUUAACAAGAUGGACAUAAAUCAUCCAAUUAAUCAAAGGGAAAAGAAGGAGAUGGAAAAGAAGAUGAUAAGAUAUGUCACACCCAAAUUGGACCAAAAGUUUGAUCAAGUCAUCAUCAAAAUCAAUCAUCCAUUUUGGUGGAUUAGGUUCUCA
rnacentral:lncRNA from 1 species